GCAUCAAUGGGGUAGUGGUAACAUGGGUCGUUGCCAUGGGUAUUCUACCUCUCCUUUGCGUCGUCGACCCGCCGGCGGUUCGAUUCCCUCUUGAUGCA